UAAUAGUGUAUAUUAAAGUUGUUGCAGUUAAAAAGCUCGUAGUUGAAUGUUGGUGUCGAACGAGCGGUCAGCUUCGGCUGUACUGCUCUCUCGACUCCUUCCUCCUGUGGACUACGUCGCACUUUACUGUGUGGCGCUAGGACGCAGAUCGUUUACUGUGAAAAAAUUAGAGUGUUCAAAGCAGGCCGUACGCUUGAAUACAUUAGCAUGGAAUAAUGGAAUAGGACGUCGGGCCUAUUUUGUUGGUUCUAGGACCGUCGUAAUGAUUAAUAGGGACAGUUGGGGCCGUUUAUAUUCCGUAGUCAGAGGUGAAAUUCUUGGAUUUACGGAAGAUAAACUACUGCGAAAGCAUUCGGCAAGGAUGUUUUCGUUAA
rnacentral:rRNA from 1 species